rnacentral:rRNA from 1 species
GGAACCGGGAGAGGUAAGAGGUACUACAGGGUAGGAGUGAAAUCUUGUAAUCCCUGCGGGACCACCGUGUGGCGAAGGCGUCUUACCAGAACGGGUUCGACGGUGAGGGACGAAAGCUGGGGGCACGAACCGGAUUAGAGUACCCGGGUAGUCCCAGCCGUAAACGAUGCUCGCUAGGUGUCAGGCAUGGCGCGACCGUGUCUGGUGCCGCAGGGAAGCCGUGAAGCGAGCCACCUGGGAAGUACGGCCGCAAGGCUGAAACUUAAAGGAAUUGGCGGGGAGCACAACAACGGGUGGAGCCCUGCGGUUUAAUUGGACUCAACGCCGGACAACUCACCGGGGCGACAGCAAUAUGUAGGCCAAGCUGAAGACUUUGCCUGAAUCGCUGAGUAGAGGUGCAUGG